AACCUUUACACUGCACGCCAGUGCGAUAAGGGGAUCCCCAGUGCGAGGGCAUAUAGUCCUCGCUUUUCUGUACCGUAAGGUGGUACAGGAAUAAGGGCUGGGCAAGACCGGUGCCAGCCGCCGCGGUAAUACCGGCAGCCCAAGUGAUGGCCGAUAUUAUUGGGCCUAAAGCGUCCGUAGCCGGCCGGACAAGUCUGUUGGGAAAUCCGCACGCUCAACGUGCGGGCGUCCAGCGGAAACUGUCCGGCUUGGGACCGGAAGACCCGAGGGGUACGUCCGGGGUAGGAGUGAAAUCCUGUAAUCCCGGACGGACCACCUGUGGCGAAAGCGCCUCGGGAAGACGGAUCCGACGGUGAGGGACGAAAGCCAGGGUCUCGAACCGGAUUAGAUACCCGGGUAGUCCUGGCCGUAAACGAUGCCCGCUAGGUGUGACGCAGGCUACGAGCCUGCGCUGUGCCGUAGGGAAGCCGUGAAGCGGGCCGCCUGGGAAGUACGUCCGCAAGGAUGAAACUUAAAGGAAUUGGCGGGGGAGCAC
rnacentral:rRNA from 1 species